UAAGUAAUGAAGAGCGUACGGUGGAUGCCUUGGCACCAGGAGCCGAUGAAGGACGUAGGAGGCUGCGAUAAGCCUCGGGGAGCUGUCAACCGAGCUGUGAUCCGAGGGUGUCCGAAUGGGGAAACCCAGCACGAGUGAUGUCGUGUUACCCGCAUCUGAAUAUAUAGGGUGUGUGGAGGGAACGUGGGGAAGUGAAACAUCUCAGUACCCACAGGAAGAGAAAACAAUAGUGAUUCCGUGAGUAGUGGCGAGCGAAAGCGGAUGAGGCCAAACUUUGUGCGUGUGAUACCCGGCAGGGGUUGCGUAUGGAGGGUUGUGGGGUUUGCAUUGUCGAUUCUGCCGGAUCGGCCGACAGUGAGAAAUUGUGGUGUUAGUCGAAGUGGUCUGGAACGGCCUGUCGUAGAGGGUGAGAGUCCCGUAGACGAAAACAUUGCAACUGUCGUUGUGGAUACCCAAGUAGCAGCGGGCCCGUGAAAUCUGCUGUGAAUCUGUCGGGACCACCCGAUAAGCCUGAAUACUCCCUGGUGACCGAUAGCGGACUAGUACCGUGAGGGAAAGGUGAAAAGUACCCCGGGAGGGGAGUGAAAUAGUACCUGAAACCGUGCGCUUACAAUCCGUCAAAGCCGGUGCAUGACUUGUCAUGGCUGGUGAUGGCGUGCCUUUUGAAGAAUGAGCCUGCGAGUUAGUGGCAUGUCGCGAGGUUAACCCGUGUGGGGUAGCCGUAGCGAAAGCGAGUCCGAAUAGGGCGUAUCCACCUUGUGUGGUGUAGUGGCGUGUUCUAGACCCGAAGCGGAGUGAUCUACCCAUGGCCAGGUUGAAGCGACGGUAAGACGUCGUGGAGGACCGAACCCACUUAGGUUGAAAACUGAGGGGAUGAGUUGUGGGUAGGGGUGAAAGGCCAAUCAAACUCCGUGAUAGCUGGUUCUCCCCGAAAUGCAUUUAGGUGCAGCGUCACGUGUUUCUCACCGGAGGUAGAGCUACUGGAUGGUCUAGGGGGCCUACAAGCUUACCGAAAUCAGCCAAACUCCGAAUGCCGGUGAGUGAGAGCGUGGCAGUGAGACUGCGGGCGAUAAGGUUCGUAGUCGAGAGGGAAACAGCCCAGAUCGCCAGCUAAGGUCCCUAAGCGUGUACUAAGUGGAAAAGGAUGUGGGGUCGCGAAGACAACCAGGAGGUUGGCUUAGAAGCAGCCACCCUUGAAAGAGUGCGUAAUAGCUCACUGGUCAAGUGAUCCUGCGCCGACAAUGUAGCGGGGCUCAAGUACACCACCGAAGCUGCGGCACUCACACAAUAGCCCCAUUCAGGUCUGCGGAUCUGUGUGCAGGUGUGUGGGUGGGUAGGGGAGCGUCGUGCAGCCAUGGAAGCAUCGGAGUGAUCCAGGUGUGGAGGCUGCGCGAGUGAGAAUGCAGGCAUGAGUAGCGAAAGACGAGUGAGAAACUCGUCCGCCGAAUGACCAAGGGUUCCUGGGCCAGGUUAAUCCGCCCAGGGUGAGUCGGGACCUAAGACGAGGCCGACAGGCGUAGCCGAUGGACAACGGGUUGAUAUUCCCGUACCCGUGUAACCGCGCCCAUGGUGAAUCAGUGACACUAACCACCCUGAAUCCAGAUGACCGAUCUCUUUCGAGAGUGAGGCGUGUGGUGGAUGCGUGGGACCUGAUCUGGUAGUAGCCAAGCGAUGGGGUGACGCAGGAAGGUAGCUGGGCCAGUCAGUGGUUGUACUGGUGUAAGCCUGUAGGGCGAACGGUAGGCAAAUCCGCCGUUCAUCAAGCCUGAGAGGUGAUGCGUAGCCGAUUGAGGCGAAUUCAGUGAUCCUAUGCUGCCGAGAAAAGCCUCUAGUGAGUUGUUACACGGCCCGUACCCCAAACCGACACAGGUGGUCAGGUAGAGAAUACUAAGGCGAUCGAGAUAACUAUGGUUAAGGAACUCGGCAAAAUGCCCCCGUAACUUCGGGAGAAGGGGGGCCCCUGCCGGUGAUCACUCUUGCAGUGUGAGCUGGUGUGGGCCGCAGAGACCAGUGAGAAGCGACUGUUUACUAAAAACACAGGUCCGUGCGAAGUCGUAAGACGAUGUAUACGGACUGACGCCUGCCCGGUGCUGGAAGGUUAAGAGGACCGGUUAGCCAGUAAUGGCGAAGCUGAGAAUUUAAGCCCCAGUAAACGGCGGUGGUAACUAUAACCAUCCUAAGGUAGCGAAAUUCCUUGUCGGGUAAGUUCCGACCUGCACGAAUGGCGUAACGACUUCUCAGCUGUCUCAACCAUAGACUCGGCGAAAUUGCAUUACGAGUAAAGAUGCUCGUUACGCGCGGCAGGACGAAAAGACCCCGGGACCUUCACUACAGCUUGGUAUUGGUGUUCGGUUCGGUUUGUGUAGGAUAGGUGGGAGACUGUGAAGCGGUGACGCCAGUUACUGUGGAGUCGUUGUUGAAAUACCACUCUGAUCGUAUUGGAUACCUCAACCUCGGACCAUGAUCUGGUUCAGGGACAGUGCCUGGUGGGUAGUUUAACUGGGGCGGUUGCCUCCUAAAAUGUAACGGAGGCGCCCAAAGGUUCCCUCAGCCUGGUUGGCAAUCAGGUGUCGAGUGCAAGUGCACAAGGGAGCUUGACUGUGAGACUGACAAGUCGAGCAGGGACGAAAGUCGGGACUAGUGAUCCGGCACCGGCAAGUGGAAGCGGUGUCGCUCAACGGAUAAAAGGUACCCCGGGGAUAACAGGCUGAUCUUCCCCAAGAGUCCAUAUCGACGGGAUGGUUUGGCACCUCGAUGUCGGCUCGUCGCAUCCUGGGGCUGGAGUAGGUCCCAAGGGUUGGGCUGUUCGCCCAUUAAAGCGGCACGCGAGCUGGGUUUAGAACGUCGUGAGACAGUUCGGUCUCUAUCCGCCGCGCGCGUAAGAAACUUGAGGAAGGCUGUCCCUAGUACGAGAGGACCGGGACGGACGAACCUCUGGUGUGCCAGUUGUUCCACCAGGAGCACCGCUGGUUGGCUACGUUCGGAAGGGAUAACCGCUGAAAGCAU
rnacentral:rRNA from 1 species